CCUCCAAUCAGAGUUUUCCGCAAUAUCCCCCUUGUCCGUCGCGGGGGGGUUACCCCACCUGGGUUGCCUGAUACCACACUUCACCACCUAAUUAUGGAUUGGUUCUCUUGAGAAAGCGGUUUCACCGCGAAACUAGUCGAGGCAUAGACCAGUCUAUAUGUUUGCAACAACAGAAUUGCCCGGGGGUACUCCCUGAGGUCCUGUUUUUUCAAUUUUACCAUGUAUUCUUUGUUCAACAAUUGUAUGUAAUAAAAUAUAUUUUUAUAUUA